rnacentral:lncRNA from 1 species
CUGUGUUUGCUGCAGGCAACAGAACUAUGAAAAGACCAUCUCCAGACUCUUGCAUUCUGGGCAUGGUCACCAAGGCAACGCUGACCACAAGGCUACAUCACAUCAUGAGCCCUCUGCCUAGUAAGAUCGGUACAGCACUGUUGUACACUGGAAACUACACUAGUGUUCACUGUCAAAGAAGACUGUGGCCCCUAACUUCAGGACCAGCUACAGCUCUUCUCGGUACUGCAGAGGACAUCUUUAAGGAACCCAGACUCAUGAAGAAAGAGCUGACAUGGAACCAUGUAAUAACCA